rnacentral:rRNA from 1 species
UGGGGGAUAUUGCACAAUGGGCGAAAGCCUGAUGCAGCGACGCCGCGUGGGGGAUGAAGGCUUUCGGGUUGUAAACCUCUUUCGCUAUCGAACAAGGCCCGCUUAGGGUGGGUUGAGGGUAGGUGGAGAAGAAGCGCCGGCUAACUACGUGCCAGCAGCCGCGGUAAUACGUAGGGCGCGAGCGUUGUCCGGAAUUAUUGGGCGUAACGGGCUUGUAGGCGGCUUGUUGCGCCUGCUGUGAAAACGCGGGGCUUAACUUCGCGCGUGCAGUGGGUACGGGCAGGCUUGAGUGUGGUAGGGGUGACUGGAAUUCCAGGUGUAGCGGUGGAAUGCGCAGAUAUCUGGAGGAACACCGAUGGCGAAGGCAGGUCACUGGGCCAUUACUGACGCUGAGGAGCGAAAGCAUGGGUAGCGAACAGG